rnacentral:tRNA from 1 species
AGUCCGUUAGCUCAAUGGUUAGAGCGCACGCCUUAUAAGCGUGUGACGAUAGUUCGACUCUAUCACGGACUACCA